ensembl:lncRNA
AGUAUCCACUCAAAACACUAAGUGCACGUUGUGAUGCCUAUGGUUAUGGGUAGUCAUGUAGGUAAACCAGUUCAGUGGUCAGACCUAUAUGGGUCAAGUUCUUUUGUUUUGUUACACCAUAGAAUAGGUGGCUAAAUAUGGGAGAAAAUAUUUUAUUCCAUUAGGUCAUUUUCUGAGGAAAUGGAAUAAAAUCGGAUUUCGUAGGCCUGUAUUUUCUCUUGCACAGAAAUGUUGAGAAUUAAAAUCUGUUGAUAAUUCUUGACUUUGUUCCUCUUUCCUCUCUUUCACACAAGUCAGGCUCUCUGUAGUGGUUACAGUGACCUUUAUGGCAAGUGUCUGCUACGUUUAGACAGCAGUCUACUCCACCUGCUUUUGAGAUCAGAGAGUCAAUGUUAACAAAUGGCCAUGGACAACAAACAUUAUCACUGAAUCAUGAUGCUUUCUUCAACCUGGAUAUUAAAUGUGUUAUUUUGAUUGUUUUUUCCAAUAGGGCAUCCUGUGGUUAUUGAUGCAGAUACAAGACAAAGAGGCACAGGCACUGAGAACAAACGGGAUCAAUCUGGGAGACGUGGAGAAGCAAGAAGGCCAGUUAGAUCAUCGUUCUCGGAGGUCCAGUAUGCGACUUUGGACCAUAUCAAUUUUGGGAGACGCACAAAUACAGUUCUCCAAUCAGAUUUUGACAAAGAAAUUGCAUAAAAAUUCCUUGUAUUUUGUCAUGAUGUAGAUGCUUAUGAACUGCCACUGAAAACAUUUCAGAUUAUUAUUUAUGUAUAAAGCAAGAGCCGGUGUCCGCAAUUGCUAAGUACUUUCUUUUAUAUUGGAAUUCAACUGUGGAGUAGUCUCCCAUUAGUCAUAAAUCUGUCCCAGUCCAGAAAGGCUUUCAGAGGUCAGGUUAGAUCCCUUCCGUCAGGAAAAGUGCACAGGUCUAAAUAGGAAAAUUACUGAAUAUUCUUGAAUUUUGUAUGGAUUGUGUAUUUUUUAUGGUGUAGGCUAGUUAGGGACUUGUCACAGGAGGUUGGUGGCACCUUAAUUGGGGAGGAUGGUUUCGUGGUAUUGGCUGGAGUGGAAUAGUAUGAAAUACAUCAAACACAUGGAUUGAUGCCAAUCCAUUUGCUUUGUUCCAGACAUUAUUAUCAGCCGUUCUCCCCUCAGCAGCCUCCACUGGCCCAUGUAUUUCCAUGGAUUUUCUUGUGUUGUGUCCUGUUUUUGUCCUACACAGAAGACCACAUUGGAAAUAAGUGUUCUUACACUAUUGUGUGUCAUCCUCUGGGAUUCUUUGUACUUUUAAAACUGUAAGAAUUGUAUUAUCCAAAAUCAAAUCAAUCAAUCAAUCAAUAUGGCUUGUAAAUGAAUGUCUUUGUUUUGUUUUUUUCUUCGUUUUAUUACCUCUUAUCUAAUUUACCAUUUCCCUGGAACCCUUAGUGCCAAACAUGCCUCUGUUUUUGAACAGAUAUCUAAAACAUAUGUUUAAAAACUUUGCUUGAAUGCAACAACAAAAAAUAUGAUGUUAAAAUGUUCAAUCUCAAGCGCACUUUGACAAAGUGUACGUCUUGAUUUCUCUGACCAAAAUGAGAAGGCUCCUGCACAGACUGCAGAUUGUGGAACAUGACAAAGUGUCACAGGUAACAUGUGUAGGACUGUAGCCUUCGGAACAGAAGCUGACCACAGUAGUUUAAGCUUUAGCUGCAUCUCUCUCUCGCUCUCUUUCUCUGCGAGGAGUGGUUUUUCUGAGCAUGAUAUGCUUUUGGACAGACACCGCUUUGAUCAAAUCUGUGCUUUGCUUAUAACAAACCACUUGCGGAUUCUAUAUUCAGACUUUUUCACCCAAUAGCGCAAUAUACUAGAUAGCAAACCACGAAAGUAAAAAGGUUAUCAGCUCCCAUCCGAUCACCAAACCUCAGCAGCCUUCACGAAAUGAAUGAAAGUCAGACAAUAGAUGGAAUGUGCUGUUAUUAUUGUAACAGUUCAUUUUCUACAACAACAGUAUUUUAAAGGAUUGGAAAAUAGUUAUGCUCCCACUUAGUUCUGAAUGGGAAAUAAAGCACUCUGGCCGAUGAGUGACAAGGAUCUGCAUUCCAUCCAAUUCACACAUGAUUUAAUAAAAGGUUUAGUAGUUUUCAAUUAAGUGUAGCUGGAUUCAGUCAUGAUGAAAUCAAGUAAGUAAUGGCAAGACAUAACAAAAGUGUUACAAUGAAAUGUUAAUGUACUCUUAAUACAAAGGACAGUAGUCGUUUUUGGUAAGUAAAAAGUUAUGACUUUAGUGAACUGANAUUAUACACUUCUACAGUAUGAUACCCAUCACAGAAAUAAUUAUUUUGUCAAAUAAGACGGCUACUUUUUAAAAUAUUGACACAGAUAACUUGGUUAACGAAGUUUCCUACCUAAUGUGUUUGUAUAGUUAACUUCAGCCUACCUGAUGUUUGAAUAGGAAGGAAAAAACUACAGACUAUCUGAGUGACAGGACAGGUAGAUUUGAAGUAAACAUUCACAUCUACUGGAUGUUUGGAGACAGUGACACAAGAUGAGAAAGAAGAGCAUUUCAUCAUGACAGUACUUGAAGGAUAGAUAGCACUUUAUGGAAGCACUAGGCUCCUCUAACACAUAUGUUUUAUGCAUUUUGCAUUUAACAUCUUCCUAGUAGGUAUGAAGCACUCCGUAUCUCUCAAAGCACUUUUAUUCUGAAUGUUGGGUUACUGCAGUUUUCACAAUGAAAGCCCUCCUCCUUUCUUUAGUUUGGGGAUUUUCUGUUACUUUUCUCAAGUUAGCCUGAAUAAAAAACUAAUGAACACAGAUAGCACUUUCAGUUAGUCUGCUUUUUUUGUUUGACAUUUUUCUUUAUUUAUUUUUUUACUUUUGACUAUGAUUCAGGCAACAUACGUGACUACAUUGAACAGAAAUAUAAACGCAACAUGCAACAAUUUCAAAGAUUUUACUGAGUUACAGUUCAUAUGUGUAAAGAAAUCAGUCAAUUGAAAUAAAUUCAUGAGGCCC